rnacentral:lncRNA from 1 species
UUUAAAUCUCGUAAAUGUAUGAGUUUUAAUCUCGUAGAUUUACGACUUUUUUCUCGUAAUGUAUUAAAAUCGAGGGGAGUCUACAUUCCAGCGAAUUUAUGCCGUGAACUGAAGCAGACCAACCAAACUGUGAAAAGCGUCUUGGAUUUCAUCAGGAUCUCUGCAGAUCCCGUUGAUGAAGCGGUCCAUAUCCUCCAGCUGUCCACUUCAGUCAUUUCUUCCUCUGACAGACCAGAUCUCCUCCAACUCUGUGAUGCUUCCGUCUGAAGAGGACCAGUUUUUGGAAUUUUCAAUGUUCUUGUGCUAACGUUGUCAUUUCUCAAUGUUGUUUUGUGUCGAGACGGGACGUUUCAUUUGGGGAAGGAGGCGUCUGGAGCUCUGUUUACAUUCUCUUUUGGUUUCUGAGCAUGACAGAGACAUGAUGUAAGGUGGAGAAAGGAAAUGAAAGAUGUAAUAAAGUGACGAUCCUGAUGAACGUGUAUCUCUGAGCUCUUUAUUUGACAUAUGAAACUCCGCACUGUUGUGUAUUGAAGUUAUCUGUUUAAGAACUGCAUUACCCAGAAGGCCAAGCGACUGGUCACAUGUUCGGUGCACGGCAAGUAGUAAGCUAGCAGAUGAGCGCUAGUCAUGCACAGUGUAGCAAUAUGAAGAGACUGUUAAUAAAAAGUCUGUUUAACACAAUAAUAGCGCCUCUUUUGUUUACUUGAAGAUACGCAAGACAACACACGCACUACCGAACCCAGAAAUAAUUUGAUUUUGAAUCUCCAAAACGUUCAGAAUUUCUUUGCUUUUAACACCGAUCUGGACAUAAUCUACACCAGAUUCUCCACGUCUUUCAUCUUCAAGCACGGCUCUGAUAAACAGACAACUUUGGUUCUUUUCUCAUUAAAUUACGACUUUUAAUCUCGUAGAUUUACACGUUUUUUCUCAUAAAUUUACGACUUUAAAAUUUGUAAAUUUAACCUAUGACUUUUAAAGUCAUAAAUAUACGACUUUAUUCUCAUAAUUUAGCAGUUACGAC